CUUACCUCUCAAUAUAUUGAAGCAGCAGACUCACUCACUGCCUCCCAAACACCACCCUGAUCCCUAAAACCCCUCUCCUGUAUUUGGCCUUUACAGGGUGCCCUGACGGUCUGUAAAAUCAGGCCAUUUUAGACCUCACAGAGCCAAAGAGUCCCCAGAGAGAGCAGUUGGCAGUCUUUGUGAACAGACUCUACUUUGAGCACCUCUGCUGAUGACAGCUGUGGCAACGUGUGAGGGACAAGGAGAGAGAUGACCUAUCAGACAGAAGACUCAGGGAGGCUGGUGGCAUCUGAAAAUCUGCAGCUUCUGUUUCCUGUGCUACCCCUUGUGGACCGAUGUGCCACUUGGUGUUCCAGCAGAUGCUGAGCGCUCAAGGAGAGUGAAACGUACACAUAUCAUGGCCAACAUUUGCAAAUCAGAUAUCAGCACAGAGACCUCUUCUGGGUUUGAAUUUGACCCUGGACUGGACCCUCUCUCAGGUUCCAGGUGCCUCCACAGUCACUGUUUUCACCCCCAUUCUCUGGCCAGCAUCUGGUGUUGACCCAGAUUUCUCCUCAGCCUUCCAGCCAAGCACAAAUCGAUGCUCAGCUGAGACCGCAGCUCCACUAGCUUCCUCAGCAAAGCAAGCUGCCUCAGCAUGGACUUCCCUCUCAUGCCUUCCCUGUAGCUGUCCCCAAAGGGCCUCCCCAGUCAGCUGAGAGUAUCCCAGCUGUUAUGGUAGCCCCAGCUCAGCAGCUCUACCAUCACUAGCUGAUGUACAGCCCAUUCCAGCAGGCUCUUCUGUCCUGCCCC